rnacentral:rRNA from 1 species
UACGGGGGGAGCAAGCGUUGUUCGGAUUUACUGGGCGUAAAGGGCGCGUAGGCGGUCGUGACAAGUCACUUGUGAAAUCUCCGGGCUUAACUCGGAACGGUCAAGUGAUACUGUCGGACUAGAGUACAGAAGGGGCAACUGGAAUUCUCGGUGUAGCGGUGAAAUGCGUAGAUAUCGAGAGGAACACCUGCGGCGAAGGCGGGUUGCUGGGCUGACACUGACGCUGAUGCACGAAAGCUAGGGUAGCAAACGGG